GGGAAUCUUGCACAAUGGGCGAAAGCCUGAUGCAGCAACGCCGCGUGCGGGACGAAGGCUUUCUGAGUUGUAAACCUCUUUCAGCAGGGACGAUUGUGACGGUACCUGCAGAAGAAGCCCCGGCCAACUACGUGCCAGCAGCCGCGGUAAUACGUAGGGGGCAAGCGUUGUCCGGAUUUAUUGGGCGUAAAGAGCUCGUAGGCGGCUUGACAAGUCGGAUGUGAAACCUCCAGGCUCAACCUGGAGUCGCCAUUCAAUACUGCCAUGGCUAGAGUUUGGUAGGGGACCACGGAAUUCCUGGUGUAGCGGUGAAAUGCGCAGAUAUCAGGAGGAACACCAGCGGCGAAGGCGGUGGUCUGGGCCAAUACUGACGCUGAGGAGCGAAAGCGUGGGGAGCGAAC
rnacentral:rRNA from 1 species